rnacentral:lncRNA from 1 species
UAAAAACAAAGUUCCAUCAUCUUUUUUUCAUCUUGCCGAAACCAUAAGGAAAAGAAAAAGAAAAAUGGAAGAAAGAACACCUAAGGCAUUCGGCCAUCUUGUGUUGGGAAUUAAGGUAUGAUUUCAUAUGUUUUUCUUUGGAUUUUGAGAAAUUUAAAUUGGUUUUAAAGCUCCUAAAAUGACCCAUGUAUAUGAUUUUGUGUUUGUGAUGCAUG